GCCUUCUUCACACACCUGUCCUGGAUCCUGCUGAUGAGUGCAGCUGGAAUUUAAGCUCCUGGAUGUGAUCCGUUCCUUGCCGGAUUAUUCAGUGACACUGGACACUUUGUGAAGUCUGGAACUCAGCUUUUGCUGGAGCAUAGGACUCUUGGAUGUGGACUCACUCCUGGAAACUCUCCCCUGAAGGUCAACAAUCCUCCAUCCUGCCACUCUCUCUCUCUCUCUCUCUCGGACCUGGAACACAAACUUACCCCGAAAACGGAAUCACUUACCUCCUGGAUAUCCUUUGCCUCCUCCUCCGAGCUUACCUCCCUCCCAAGAGCCUGACGAAUCAACUUCCAUCAUUUCUUUUGUGAAUAAACUUCACUUAAACUUUU